GGAACACUAGAGCAUCACCUGAGGGACCACAGUGGUCCCAAAAUUAGACCAUCUUGAUGGCGAAGCUGGUAUAUGUAGGGCAGGUGGGAGCCAGGAAGUCCAACAGUGGUCCCUCAUUAUCCUGUGGUUCUUCCAAAAGGAUCAUGGACGUGCGAGGGACAUGGGCUGUGACACUGUACAACAUGUUCACGUGACGCUUGCUUUAGAGGCAGCAAUCAAGCUGCCACAAGUCAAUUACGGCCUGCAUGCAUGGCACCGUGAAUAGGACACGGGCCGUCCGUGUC
rnacentral:lncRNA from 1 species